rnacentral:tRNA from 1 species
CCUUAAUUAGCUUACUAAAAGCUUUAAACUCUUAAUUUAAAAGACAGUAGUUAAACUCUACUAUUAAGGA